AGAGUUUGAUCCUGGCUCAGGAUGAACGCUAGCGGCAGGCCUAACACAUGCAAGUCGAGGGGUAACGAUGUCUUCGGACAGUCGACGACCGGCGCACGGGUGAGUAACGCGUAUACAACCUACCUUUAACAGGAGGAUAGCCCCGAGAAAUCGGGAUUAAUACUCCAUAACAUCGUUUUACCGCAUGGUAUUUCGAUUAAAACUCCGGUGGUUAAAGAUGGGUAUGCGUGACAUUAGUUUGUUGGUGAGGUAACGGCUCACCAAGACUACGAUGUCUAGGGGUUCUGAGAGGAUGAUCAGCCACACUGGGACUGAGACACGGCCCAGACUCCUACGGGAGGCAGCAGUGGGGAAUAUUGGACAAUGGGCGCAAGUCUGAACCAGCCAUGCCGCGUGCAGGAUGACAGCCCAUGGGUUGUAAACUGCUUUUAUAUAGGAAGAAAAUGUUCUACGUGUAGAGCACUGACGUUACUAUAAGAAUAAGCAUCGGCUAACUCCGUGCCAGCAGCCGCGGUAAUACGGAGGAUGCAAGCGUUAUCCAGAUUUAUUAGGUUUAAAGGGUGUGUAGGCGGAAUUUUAAGUCAGUGGUGAAAUCUCACAGCUCAACUGUGAAACUGCCAUUGAUACUGGAAUUCUUGAGUAUAGUUGAGGUAGGCGGAAUGUGUAAUGUAGCGGUGAAAUGCUUAGAUAUUACACAGAACACCGAUUGCGAAGGCAGCUUACUAUACUAUAACUGACGCUGAUGGACGAAAGCGUGGGGAGCGAACAGGAUUAGAUACCCUGGUAGUCCACGCCGUAAACGAUGAUUACUCGUUGUUGGCGAUAUAUUGUCAGCGACUGAGCGAAAGCAUUAAGUAAUCCACCUGGGGAGUACGUCGGCAACGGUGAAACUCAAAGGAAUUGACGGGGGCCCGCACAAGCGGAGGAACAUGUGGUUUAAUUCGAUGAUACGCGAGGAACCUUACCUGGGCUUAAAUGCAGAAUGCUUUACACCGAAAGGUGAUUUUCCUUCGGGACGCUUUACAAGGUGCUGCAUGGUUGUCGUCAGCUCGUGCCGUGAGGUGUCGGGUUAAGUCCCAUAACGAGCGCAACCCCGUAUUGUUAGUUACCAGCGGAUAAUGCCGGGGACUCUAACGAGACUGCCGGUGUAAACCGAGAGGAAGGUGGGGAUGACGUCAAAUCAGCACGGCCCUUACGUCCAGGGCUACACACGUGUUACAAUGGCCGAUACAGAGGGCAGCUACCUGGUGACAGGAUGCAAAUCUCCAAAAACCUGUCUCAGUUCGGAUCGGAGUCUGCAACUCGACUCCGUGAAGGUGGAUUCGCUAGUAAUCGCGUAUCAGCAAUGACGCGGUGAAUACGUUCCCGGGCCUUGUACACACCGCCCGUCAAGCCAUGGAAGCUGGGAGUACCUGAAGUACGUGACCGUAAGGAGCGUCCUAGGGUAAAACCAAUGACUGGGGCUAAGUCGUAACAAGGUAACC
rnacentral:rRNA from 1 species